CCUACGGGAGGCAGCAGUGAGGAAUAUUGGUCAAUGGGCGAGAGCCUGAACCAGCCAAGUCGCGUGAGGGAGUACUGCCCUAUGGGUUGUAAACCUCUUUUGUCGGGGAGCAAAAGCCGGACGUGUCCGGCUGUGAGAGUACCCGAAGAAAAAGCAUCGGCUAACUCCGUGCCAGCAGCCGCGGUAAUACGGAGGAUGCGAGCGUUAUCCGGUUUUAUUGGGUUAAAAGGGUGCGCAGGCGGAUUUUUAAGUCAGCGGUAAAAUCGUGGGGCUCAACCCCAUCCAGCCGUUGAAACUGGGGAUCUAGAGUGUGCGAGAGGUAUGCGGAAUGCGUGGUGUAGCGGUGAAAUGCAUAGAUAUCACGCAGAACCCCGAUUGCGAAGGCGGCAUACCGGUGCACAACUGACGCUCAGGCACGAAAGCGUGGGUAUCGAACAGGAUUAGAUACCCUUGUAGUC
rnacentral:rRNA from 1 species